rnacentral:rRNA from 1 species
CCUACGGGCGGCUGCAGUGGGGAAUAUUGGACAAUGGGGGGAACCCUGAUCCAGCCAUGCCGCGUGUGUGAAGAAGGCCCUCGGGUUGUAAAGCACUUUCAGUGAGGAAGAACGCCUGGUGGUUAAUACCCAUCAGGAAAGACAUCACUCACAGAAGAAGCACCGGCUAACUCCGUGCCAGCAGUCGCGGUAAUACGGAGGGUGCGAGCGUUAAUCGGAAUUACUGGGCGUAAAGCGCGCGUAGGUGGCUUGAUAAGCCGGUUGUGAAAGCCCCGGGCUCAACCUGGGAACGGCAUCCGGAACUGUCAAGCUAGAGUGCAGGAGAGGAAGGUAGAAUUCCCGGUGUAGCGGUGAAAUGCGUAGAGAUCGGGAGGAAUACCAGUGGCGAAGGCGGCCUUCUGGACUGACACUGACACUGAGGUGCGAAAGCGUGGGUAGCAAACAGGAUUAGAUACCCGAGUAGUC